rnacentral:tRNA from 1 species
GCCCCGCUGGCGGACUCCGGGUUCCGCGUCGUCGCCCUCGACGCGCCCGGCCAUGGCGACUCCGACCCGGGCCCGUUCGGCCCGGGGCGGGGCC